UUUCCUCAAACAAGGAGGUAAUCGAAUCCAGGUUGUCAUCUGUGCAUUUCUCCUUCUCGUCACAGGCUCUACUUCUGAGUGCAGUUGCCACAGCAACGAGAUGACUGCAAGAGAACCCGAGAGAUCAUGCCUGUCCAUGAGAUGUUUAUGAAAAUCCACAUCUCUCUCUUUCCCAUUCCUCUCUGCUAGAAAGAAAGAAGAAACUGGGCGAGAGACGUGACCCCAAGUUCUUUCGCCAUCUCAGUCAACUCUACCAGACUUCUCUGCCUAGUCCGAUGGUGCCCCGCUGUGCUCCCAUUGCAGAACGAGAUCAAAACACCAAUCCUGCAUUGGAAGAAAGCGGAUUGUCUUUAUCACGUAAUGCUGGAGAAAUUGAAUAUCCACAUGUAGACGACUGAGUGUUGGUCUCUGUGUCUUGCUUCGUACAAAAAUCAAUGUAAAACCGAUCAAAGACCUUGGUAUUAAACCUGAAUCUUUGCUAAAGGGAAACAUUUCAAGAUACAGGAAUAUUUGAAAAUUUUCUGAGUUGAUUUCAAGAGCUCAGAAAAUAAUAGCAAAAAUUGACACAUGAGAUUAUAUCAAAUUAAAAACUUCCUGUGGUCCUACC